ensembl:Y_RNA Y_RNA Y RNA
GGCUGGUCCGAUUGUAGUGGGUUACCAGACUUAGUAACAUUAAUAUCACUAAAGUUAGUAUACAGCCCCCCACUGCUAAAUUAGACUGGCUGUAA